UACGUAGGGUGCAAGCGUUAAUCGGAAUUACUGGGCGUAAAGCGUGCGCAGGCGGUUAUAUAAGACAGAUGUGAAAUCCCCGGGCUCAACCUGGGAACUGCAUUUGUGACUGUAUAGCUAGAGUACGGCAGAGGGGGAUGGAAUUCCGCGUGUAGCAGUGAAAGGCGUAGAUAGGCGGAGGAACACCGAUGGCGAAGGCAAUCCCCUGGGACUGUACUGAAGCUCAUGCAAGAAAGCGUGGGGAGAAAACAGGCUUAGAUACCACUGGAGUCC
rnacentral:rRNA from 1 species